rnacentral:rRNA from 1 species
AGAGCAAAUGGUGGAUGCCUUGGCUAGUAGAGGCGAUGAAAGACGUGCUAGGCUGCGAUAAGUCUCGGGGAGCCGUCAAGGGGCUUUGAUCCGGGAAUUUCUGAAUGGGGCAACCCAGUAUAUAGUGAUAUAUACUACCGCAAUGCGGAGCGAACGUUGGGAAUUGAAACAUCUUAGUACCAACAGGAAGAGAAAUCAAACGAGAUUACGCUAGUAGCGGCGAGCGAAAGCGUAAGAGGGCAAACCACUAGCUUGCUAGUGGGGUUGUAGGACUGCAAUAUAGACUUAAACAAUCUAAUAGAAUAAGUUGGAAAGCUUAAGCAUAGAGGGUGAUACUCCCGUAUAUGAAAGUGCGUUUAUACUUAGCAGUAUCCUGAGUAGGGCGGGACACGUGUAAUCCUGUCUGAAGCUGGGUAGACCACUAUCCAACCCUAAAUACUACUACUAGACCGAUAGUGCACAAGUACCGUGAGGGAAAGGUGAAAAGAACUGAGGUGAUCAGAGUGAAAUAGAACCUGAAACCAUUUGCUUACAAUCAUUCAGAGCCCUAUGAUUUAUCAGGGUGAUGGACUGCCUUUUGCAUAAUGAGCCUGCGAGUUGUGGUGUCUGGCGAGGUUAAGGAAACCCGGAGCCGUAGCGAAAGCGAGUCUUAAUAGGGCGUAUAGUCAGAUGCUGCAGACCCGAAACGAUGUGAUCUAUCCAUGAGCAGGUUGAAACUGGUGUAAGAGCCAGUGGAGGACCGAACAGACGGCCGUUGAAAAGGCUCCUGAUGACUUGUGGAUAGGGGUGAAAGGCCAAUCAAACAUCGUGAUAGCUGGUUCUCUCCGAAAUAUAUUUAGGUAUAGCGUUGUGUAGUAACUUUGUGAGGUAGAGCACUGAAUGGGCUAGGGCAUACACCAAUGUACCAAACCCUAUCAAACUCCGAAUGCGCAAAGUGUAAUCACAGCAGUCAGGCGGCGAGUGAUAAAAUCCGUCGUCGAGAGGGGAACAACCCAGACUAACAGCUAAGGUCCCUAAAUCUCAUUUAAGUGGAAAACGAUGUGGAGUUACUGAAACAACCAGGAGGUUGGCUUAGAAGCAGCCAUCCUUUAAAGAAAGCGUAAUAGCUCACUGGUCUAGUGAUUCUGCGCGGAAAAUAUAACGGGGCUAAAAUGAGUACCGAAGCUUUAGACUUGCACUUAAUUCUAAUUAUAAAUUAAAUUAUGAGAAAAUAGUUUAGCUAAAAUAAUUAGAAGUAAUUAGAAUUAAGUGCAAGUGGUAGGAGAGCGUUCUAUUCAGCGUUGAAGGUAUACCGGUAAGGAGUGCUGGAGCGGAUAGAAGUGAGCAUGCAGGCAUGAGUAGCGAUAAAAGGGGUGAGAAUCCCCUUCGCCGUAAACCCAAGGUUUCCUACGCGAUGCUCGUCAUCGUAGGGUUAGUCGGGUCCUAAGCAAAGUCCGAAAGGGGUAUGCGAUGGAAAAUUGGUUAAUAUUCCAAUACCAAUUAUUAUGUGCGAUGGAAGGACGCUUAAAGUUAGUGGAGCUAGCGGAUGGAAGUGCUAGUCUAAGGGCGUAGGUUGAGUUAUAGGCAAAUCCGUAACUCUCUAUCUGAGACCUAAAAGGCUCUUGACGCUCUUCGGAGUAGAUGGAGAAUCCAUGAUACUAUCGAGCCAAGAAAAGUUUCUAAGUUUAGUAAUAAUUGCCCGUACCGUAAACCGACACAGGUGGGUGGGAUGAGUAUUCUAAGGCGCGUGGAAGAACUCUCUUUAAGGAACUCUGCAAAAUAGCACCGUAUCUUCGGUAUAAGGUGUGCCUAACUUUGUAUUAAGAUUUACUCCCAAAGCAAGGAAGGUUACAACAAAGAGUCCCUCCCGACUGUUUACCAUAAACACAGCACUCUGCUAACUCGUAAGAGGAUGUAUAGGGUGUGACGCCUGCCCGGUGCUCGAAGGUUAAUUGAUGGGGUUAGCAUUAGCGAAGCUCUUGAUCGAAGCCCGAGUAAACGGCGGCCGUAACUAUAACGGUCCUAAGGUAGCGAAAUUCCUUGUCGGUUAAAUACCGACCUGCAUGAAUGGCGUAACGAGAUGGGAGCUGUCUCAAAGAGGGAUCCAGUGAAAUUGUAGUGGAGGUGAAAAUUCCUCCUACCCGCGGCAAGACGGAGAGACCCCGUGGACCUUUACUACAGCUUGACACUGCUAUUUGGAUAAAGAUGCGCAGGAUAGGUGGGAGGCUUUGAUCCAUAGACUCUGGUUUAUGGUGAGCCAUUGUUGAGAUACCACUCUUCUUUAUUUGGGUAGCUAACUAGCCUAAGUUAUCCUUAGGUAGGACAAUGUCUGGUGGGUAGUUUGACUGGGGCGGUCGCCUCCCAAAGUGUAACGGAGGCUUACAAAGGUUGGCUCAGAACGGUUGGAAAUCGUUCGUAGAGUAUAAAGGCAUAAGCCAGCUUAACUGCGAGACGUACAUGUCAAGCAGAGACGAAAGUCGGUCUUAGUGAUCCGGUGGUUCUGUGUGGAAGGGCCAUCGCUCAAAGGAUAAAAGGUACCCCGGGGAUAACAGGCUGAUCUCCCCCAAGAGCUCACAUCGACGGGGAGGUUUGGCACCUCGAUGUCGGCUCAUCGCAUCCUGGGGCUGGAGCAGGUCCCAAGGGUAUGGCUGUUCGCCAUUUAAAGCGGUACGCGAGCUGGGUUCAGAACGUCGUGAGACAGUUCGGUCCCUAUCUGCCGUGGGCGUAAGAAGAUUGAGGAGAGUUGACCCUAGUACGAGAGGACCGGGUUGAACCAGCCACUGGUGUAUCAGUUGUUCUGCCAAGAGCAUCGCUGAGUAGCUAAGCUGGGAUGUGAUAAGAGCUGAAAGCAUCUAAGCUCGAAGCCAACUCCAAGAUGAAUCUUCUUUUAAGAGCUCUAGUAGACUACUAGUUUGAUAGGCUGGAUGUGUAAUGGAUGAGAGUCCUUUAGCUGACCAGUACUAAUAGCUCGUUUGCUUAUCUU